rnacentral:rRNA from 1 species
CCUACGGGGGACAGCAGUGAGGAAUAUUGGUCAAUGGGCGCGAGCCUGAACCAGCCAAGUAGCGUGAAGGAUGACUGCCCUACGGGUUGUAAACUUCUUUUAUAAAGGAAUAAAGUGAGGCACGUGUGCCUUUUUGUAUGUACUUUAUGAAUAAGGAUCGGCUAACUCCGUGCCAGCAGCCGCGGUAAUACGGAGGAUCCGAGCGUUAUCCGGAUUUAUUGGGUUUAAAGGGAGCGUAGACGGCCAUGCAAGCCAGGGGUGAAAGCCUGCGGCCCAACCCCGAAACUGCCAUUGAAACUGGAUGGCUGGAGUGCAGGUGGGGCAGGCGGAAUUCGUGGUGUAGCGGUGAAAUGCGUAGAUAUCAGGAGGAACUCCGAUGGCGAAGGCAGCUUGCUGAACUGCGACUGACGUUGAGGCUCGAAAGCGUGGGGAGCGAACAGGAUUAGAUACCCCUGUAGUC